GAUGAACGCUGGCGGCGUGCCUAAUACAUGCAAGUCGAGCGAACAGACGAGGAGCUUGCUCCUCUGACGUUAGCGGCGGACGGGUGAGUAACACGUGGAUAACCUACCUAUAAGACUGGGAUAACUUCGGGAAACCGGAGCUAAUACCGGAUAAUAUAUUGAACCGCAUGGUUCAAUAGUGAAAGACGGUUUUGCUGUCACUUAUAGAUGGAUCCGCGCCGCAUUAGCUAGUUGGUAAGGUAACGGCUUACCAAGGCAACGAUGCGUAGCCGACCUGAUAGGGUGAUCGCCCACCCUGGAGCUGAGCCACGGUCAAGACUCCUACGGGAGGCAGCAGUCGGGAACCUGCCGCAAUGGGCGAAAGCCUGACGGAGCAACGCCGCGUGAGUGAUGAAGGUCUUCGGAUCGUAAAACUCUGUUAUUAGGGAAGAACAAAUGUGUAAGUAACUAUGCACGUCUUGACGGUACCUAAUCAGAAAGCCACGGCUAACUACGUG
rnacentral:rRNA from 1 species